rnacentral:misc_RNA from 1 species
GAUGAAGAACGUAGCGAAAUGCGAUACGUAAUGUGAAUUGCAGAAUUCAGUGAAUCAUCGAAUCUUUGAACGCACAUUGCGCCCGCCAGCACUCUGGCGGGCAUGCCUGUCCGAGCGUCAUUUCAACCCUCAGGGCCCCUUCGGGGGACCUGGCGUUGGGGAUCGGCCCGCCCCCGUGCGGCGCCGUCCCCGAAAUAUAGUGGCGGUCUCGCUGCAGCCUCCCCUGCGUAGUAGCACACCUCGCACUGGAGAGCGGCGCGGCCACGCCGUGAAACCCCCAACUUCUGAAUGUUGACCUCGGAUCAGGUAGGAAUACCCGCUGAACUUAAGCAUAUCAAUAAGCGGAGGA